AUGGAGAAUUGAUGAACGCUGUUCAUCAAUAUAAGUUUCCGUGUUUCGUUUUGUUCAGUUUUGAGAGAACUAUCUCUCAUAUAUAAAUGUAUGUUCUUUGAAAACUAGAUAACAGUGUAGCUCAUAUUUUUUUAUUUUUAGUUU
rnacentral:misc_RNA from 1 species